rnacentral:lncRNA from 1 species
GCCUGUGGAGUCCUGGUUCGGCUCUUUCUGGCUUCUUUUCGUUUCCUAAUCUUAAAAAAAUCUGUAAAAGACACUUAGUUUUCUCCAGUUAAUACUGGAAAAAAGACCACACUGAUAGACAUGGUUAAAUUCCCUCAUUUCUUUAGGGAUGAACUAAAUGGCUAGUAUCCUCAUUUUAAAAAGUAUCUUGAGGGCCACGUGUGGUGGUUCAUGCCUAAUAGCACAGCACUUUGGGAGGUAGAAAUGGGAGGAUCACUUGAGCCCAAGAGUUCCAGGUUACAGUGAUCUGUGAUCUCCUCACUGCACUCUAGUCUGGGCAAUAAAGUGAGCGAGUGAGACCUUGUCUCAACAAACAAACAAACAAACAACAAGCAAACAAAACCACAAUGAGAUCAUGUCUCCAUGAAAAAAAAAAGAAGAAAGAAAAAGUGUCUUGACCUUGGUGGAGCUUAUGUUGAGAAACAAAAUUCAUUUUUAAAAAUUUUUAUAUUUUAAUUCAAUUUCCAUGAACUUUUGGAGGUCCCCUUAUAUUUUUUCUUUCUGUUUUUUGUUUUGUUUUGUUUUUUGGACAGUCUCAUUCUGUUGCUGAGGCUGGAGUGCAGUGGCAAGAUCUCAGCUCAAUGCAACCUCUGCCUCCUGUGUUCAAGUGAUUCUCAUGCCUCAGCCUCCCAAGUAGUUGAGAUUACAGGUGUGCAUCACCAGAGCUGGCUAAAUUUUUUUUUUUUUGGUAAUUUUAGUAGAGGCAGGGUUUCAUCAUGUUGCCCAGGCUGGUCUUGAACUCCUGGGCUCAAAUGAUCUACCUGCCUUAGCCUCCCAAAGUGCUGGGAUUACAGACGUGAGCCACUGUGUCCAGCCUCUUAUUUCUUUUCUUAAUUUUUAAUUUAGAGAUGGGGUCUCAAUAUGUUGCCCUGGCUGGUCUUGAACUGUUGGGUUUAAAGGAUCCUUCAGCCUCCCAAAGUGCUGGGAUUAUAGGUCUGAAUCACCCUGCCUGACCCCCUCGUAAUUUUUAUAGCCUGAACUGGAAACCAAAUGGCCAUCAACAGGUGAAGGGAUAAAGAAACUUCCAUCCAUACAAUGGAAUACUACUCAGCAAGAAAAAGGAACGAACCAUUGAUAAACAAAGCAAUGUGGAUGCAUUCUGCAGACAGCAUGCUGAGGGAAGGAAGCCAGACUCAAAAGGUACAUACUCCAUGAUUUCAUUUUUAUGAAAUUCUAGAACAAGCAAAAGUAAGCUACAGUAACAGAAAUCAGAUCGGUGGUUGCCUGCGGUGGGGGCAGGAGAAAGCUUCCUGGAGUGCUAAGAAGUGUUCUUUAUUUUGAUUGGGGUGGUGGUUACACAGGGACCUACAUUUGUCAAAACACAUCAAACUAUAUACUUACAAUGGGUGCAUUUUAUUUCAUGUAAUUUAUAUCUCAAUUUGCAAAAAGGGUACCGAGAAAAAGCAAAAUAUGGCACUGAACUAGAGAAGCUGAAAGAGGAGAAGUGGGUGGGUGCCUGUAUAUAAGUUAACUGCACACUCAUGAUGUCACCAUCCAUCCUGCCAGCAGACUGUGAUCUCCUGAGGGGGACUGUCAUAGCCCAGCCCCAGCCCAGAGCCUGUCACAUAGGAUGACAUCAGGAAAUGUCUGCUAUGGAAUGAAGGCAGGGUGGCUCUAUUUCCUCUACAUGCCUCCGAGGACAACACCCAUCCUCCAAAAGAAGUGAAUUCAGAGCAAAUGCAAGGCCCAGCAUGGAAAGACUCACCACAGCAAGUAAGUAGUGGAGAUUCAUGGAUCGCCGACUUCUCACAGCAAAGACCACGGCUCCCACAAGGAACGCACAAGCAAUCAGGUCGUUGAAGAGGUCCUGAAGGUGGAGAGGUUAGUCAGCCUCAGCCAAAGCCAGGGUCCCCAUCAACAAACACUGCACCCUGGCUAGCUUCCUCCAAAGGAAUGAUUUGCAAAUUUCCACCUGAUUUUAAAAUGUAUGCAUAAAGAUAAACACACACCGGGCUAGGUGGACAUAUCUGUGGCCCUCCAGCUGGGCUUUUUAAAUUGAAACCUAAAAAGUCCAGGAUGCUAAAAUGCCCUCGUGCUGAAGCCUGUGAAGUCACCAGCCCCCUCUUCUACCAUCUCUCUGUGAAAUCACACAUUUGGUUUCUGCCUAUGUCUCCUCCCACUAAUACUCAUUUAUUAUUUUUAUUUUCUACUUUUUGAGACAGGGUCUUACUCCGAUUAUGCAGGCUGGAGUGCAGUGGCACAAUUUCUGCUCACUGCAGCCUCGACCUCCUCAGGCUCAGGUGAUUCUCCCACCUCUGCCUCCUGAGCAGCUGCGACUACAGGUGUGUGCCACCAAGCCUGCCUAAUUUUUUUUUUGUGUGUAUUUUUAGUAGAGACGGGGUUUCACCAUGUUAUCCAGGCUGGUCUCGAACUCCUGGACUCAAGCGAUCUGCCUUCCUCGGCCUCCCAAAGUGCUACGAUUACAGGUGUGGGCCACAGCGCCCAGCCAAUACACAUUUAAAUAAAUACACAACUAUAAAACGUCAUGAUGUCCCUCUUAAGGACCCCACCACCGCCUUUCAGCUCCCAGGACCAGCUCCCCUCUCUGGAGUCUGGGUGGGCUGCACUGGCUCUGAUGGACUCUAGCAUCUCACUGGGAGCCUGGCAGCUUCUUCUGCAACCCCCUGCCCUCGGCCUGACUUCCUAGACCCCUUCCCCUCUUUGCAAGGCAGCACCACCUCUUCCUUCCUCAACCCUCCUGCCCAUCCCCUGUGACUUCAGUCUCGCCCUCCCCAUACCAUAUACGCAUUUCCCUCCUGCUAGUGACAAGGCAUUGCCAAACUUCUCAGAGCUGGCCAAACCAUGGCCAUAGCAGGCUGGCUUCCUCCCGCAUUUCUCCUGGGCCUAGAGGAUGGGGUGAGAAGCAGCUGAUCCUGCAGCGCUGGAAGACACCUGCCAUCCCCCUUGGUUUCUAUAGUGCCAUUUCCUGCUGUUGUCCUUUCCUGGCCACUUUGUUUCAGGCCUUUUCCUUUUUAAUGUUUUGAAUUUUGAUACAUUUCAAAUGCCCAGAAAAUAAUAGAACAUCCUAUCCCCGACUCCCACCUCCACCAGGCCAGGAGCCACUGACAUUUAACAGAUGUUAACGUCUUGCCAACGUCCCCUUUAGGCCUCUUUGAAAACAAGAAGUCCAACUUCACGGAUGGAGCUGCAGCCCCCUCGCUUCCUUCCCUUUUCCUGUCCCUCAUGCCUCCCUCCUCCAACUUUUGGAAGCUGAUGUGCAGUUUUCCUGUCUGAAUUUGUGCUUUUCUACAUAUUAUAUAUUUAUAAACAAUGUAUACUAUUUUGUGUAUUUCAAAAUACACUUUUUAUAUUUAAAUAAAAAGUAUCCUACCUUUCAAUGCUUGCUUUUUGACUUUUGAGAUUUAUCCACAUUGAGAAAUAUAGAUUUAUUAAUUUUAACUGAUGUAGCCUACUAUAUGAAUGAACGAAAUGAGACACAGGGUGUUUCUACCACUCACUGCAGUCUUGAACUCCUGGGCUCAAGUGAUCCUCCC